rnacentral:rRNA from 1 species
GUGGGGAAUAUUGGACAAUGGGCGAAAGCCUGAUCCAGCCAUGCCGCGUGUGUGAAGAAGGUCUUCGGAUUGUAAAGCACUUUAAGUUGGGAGGAAGGGCAGUAAGUUAAUACCUUGCUGUUUUGACGUUACCGACAGAAUAAGCACCGGCUAACUUCGUGCCAGCAGCCGCGGUAAUACGAGGGGUGCAAGCGUUAAUCGGAAUUACUGUGCGUAAAGCGCGCGUAGGUGGUUUUGUAAGUUGGAGGUGAAAUCCCCGGGCUAAACCGGGGAACUGCAGCCAAAACUGCAUGGCUAGAGUACGGUAGGGGGUAGUGGAAUGUUCUGGGUAGCGGUGAAAUGCGUAGAUAUAGGAAGGAACACCAGUGGCGAGGGCGACUACCUGGACUGAUACUGACACUGAGGUGCGAAAGCGUGGGGAGCAAACAGGAUUAGAAACCCGGGUAGUCC